CAUUCUCACACUCCCAGGCAAUUGAGAGUCGCUGGUAGACGUUGCAUUCGUGUCAUCUUCCCCGAGCCAUUAUUCUCACACUCCCAAUUUACUCCUUCAUUUACUCCCUUUCUCUCUUCAACUUCUCCACUACCACGUCAUUUCUGUGGUGUGCGCUCCUAUUGAAACGGAUGGAUUUUCAUCUUCAUCCCCGCUAAAGACCUGCACGAGUAAACCAAUGGAGAGUUCCUCUCCAAUUUAAGCUGGGCAGCCGCUUGGUUCCCAUCUUUCACCUCACGGUGUACUUCUGCCUAAAAGCCCUUCAUUAUAGGAAAUCGAAGUUGGCUCGAGAGAUUUCGUCUCCCGACACCUGAAGCCCACCCCCUGGCCCCUGCUCGAGAUUAAACAAAUUUUGCUCAGGGAAGACACCAUGGAUUUGCUCAGUACUGGCCGCCACCCGCAAUCCGACUCCCCCUUUCCCGGUGAUUAUUUCUACCACAGCUUCCUUGAUUAUGUUGAAACCCCUUCUCCUGAAGUGUCUUUCUCGUGGCUUCAAGAUUCAAGCCUGGAACAGAUCAAUAAGAGCUUGAGUUUAAUUCCUGAACCCACGGAAUUCAUCUUCCUGCUUACCCUCUCGGAUGUUAAUUCUUUUGUUCUUUUAUCUUCCAAGAUUCACUUUUCAUAGAUUUAAAAUUUAAUCUUUUGUUUUGUUAUGCGCAAUGUUUUCCAUCAUUUAUUAUUUUGCAGGAAUAAUUCAUUCAGAUGACUUCAGUUCACGAGCGUGAGAUUCAACUCGGGGCUCAACCGGUAUAUUCUAUAGUUCCUCUCCUGUUCCGCUCAACCACUUGCUUCGUCUUUCUUUAUUUUUCCAUGAUGAUCUCUCCUGUUACUUGCGCGCUGCAAGUAGAGGCCUUGGCAAGUCUGCUCUAAGAAUGAUAAAAUAUGUACAUUCUGAGACUUGAUCAGCGAUGGGCCAUGGUGGUUCUUUUCAUGUUAGUCAUUGCAAUUUCCGUCUGGCAGUACAGUGAUGAUUUGAACAUUUUAUUGCUUUUCAUGAUAUGACAGUAUUCUUUCUUU